AUGGUAGGCGGACGCUUCAAGCGGUUUACAGACAGGGAUGAUCGCUCCUACACGCUCGGCCUCGGAUAUAGAGCCUUCAUCCAGAGAACUCACGCCAUUAGACGCGGGAGAAGUAGCUUCAGGGCGACAAUCCUCAGGUCCUCCGGGCCUGUCCCCCUCUGCGGCUUCCUGCGGGGACCCACUCCCACUGGAGCGCGCCACGGCGUCCGGGAGACGCUCCUCCAGGAGACGCGCAGCCGACUCCUCCUCCCGGCCCCCAGCGGGCCUGGGACGUGGCCUUCCUCGUGGCGCGACGGCGACUGGGGGUAUCCCAGGAGGGGCUGACCUGGAGGAGAGUUUUCUGUUCCCCGAAUGCGUCCAGGGAUUCGGAGCCGGAACUGACCCUCCAAGACCAGCUGCGGAAGCUGCAGCAGCGGCGGGAGGAGGAGGCGCGACGGCGGCAGCGGCGAGGGGAGGAGAGGCGGCUGCAGAAGUUACGGGCUGGCCAGCAGGCGCUCCCGGACCGUGUGCCAGCACUGCCGAGUGCUGGUGCAUCACCGGCGCGCCCUGCGCCUUCAGGUGAGCCGGAACAGUUCCGGGGGUGGUGAGCGCCGCGCUGCGGCGGCCCGAGCCCGCCCUAGUGCUGUACAAGGUGGACCUGCUGGAUCUGCCCGCUCUGGUGGGCCCCAAGCUGCUGAUGGUGCUGGGAAGCAUGGUGACCCUUAUGCCCCAGGACACUCCCGACUACCAGCAGCGACUCCAGGAGCGACUGUGGGAUGACUAUCGGCGCCGGGCUCCUGCCGCCCCGCGGCUACCGAAGGCCACAACAUCUCAGCGGGGACCGGCCAUGGGACGGGGAGGACAAUGCAAAUCUUCCGUCCGAGAUCCGCAAGGUGCUCAGAGACGUGCGGCUCAUCAGCGCCAAGAUCUCCGUGCUCCAGAGCUCCUGGCGCUGCCGCGGCGACGUCUACCUGGUUGGCGCCACCAACGCUGGCAAGUCCACUGUUUUCACUACGCUUCUGGAGUCCGAUUACUGCAUCGCCAAGGGCGCUGAGGCUAUCGACAGGGCCGCCACCUCCCCUUGGCCUGGUUAGCCUUGGGGCGCCCAUCUCCUUCGUUUUCAGAAAAGUUGGAAACCAGUCAGCUUGGUUUAUAGUUGUGGCUUCCAACUUUCUUCCUGUUUCGUUGGACAAGGUGGAUACUAUAUAUCAGAAGCACAUGGGUCAUAUGCUACUGAAGGUGAGGCAACAGGCUUUGAUGGUUGCAUAGUUAGGUUAAUAACACCCACUGUGGAUAGUCCCACAGCCCUGAUAAAAAGCCUUUGUUGGACAGAACCAUCUUUGUUACACCAUCAGCUAGCUCUCUCUGACCUUGUUCACCUUGAGGAUUUUGGCUAUAAAGUGAGAUGGGUUCUGAUAAGAAGAGGGAUGUUGGAUUGGACUGAUCCCAGGAUACUGACAGAGCUGGGUUUUCUCUAGGUGACACUGUCCAAUAUGGUAGCCUUAUGUGGCUAAAUAGCCAACAUGUGGCUAUUUCAAUAAGUUAAUUAAAAUUAAAUAAACUUUAAAAUUUAGUUCUUUACUUGCACUAGCCACUUUUCAACUGCCCAGUGGUCACAUCAUUUCAAAAAGUUGUGCUGGAUAAUGUGAGUGAGGAGACACUGGAUUUUCUCACAAUGGGGUGAUGCUACCAGCAUGUAAUGGGUGGAGGCCAGAGAUGAUGCUAAGCAUAAUGCAUGCACAGGACAGCCCCUUACAACAGGGAAUCAUCUGGUCCACAUGUGAGUGCUGAGCUUAGUAGCCCUUGUCUGGGUGGAAAAGCUCUCCUCCCAGGUUCAAUCACAGACACUUAGAGGCUAUCAUACAUCUUCUCUCCUGGUUACUUGAUCCUUCCUUUGACCUGUGAAGCAGUGUGUGAACAUUUCUCUGAUCUUUCAGAAACAAAACAAAACUCUGUCCCGCUCCUUCCUCUUCUUUGCAAUCACGCCGACUGCUGCUCCUCACCUCCCAUCCUCUGCAGUCCCUGCCGUGGCCUUUCUGUGCCGCUGAAAUCGGUCCACGUUCACCAGAGGCGGGGCCGGUUUGCGGCUCCUUAAGCAGACCUGCGCACACACCGUCGGCUGGCCUGUAGUGCAUGACGGCUCAGCUCACUGGAGCUAGGCUGGGUUCACGUCCCGCUCUGCCCCCCACUCAGUGAAGCUGUGUGACUUUGGGCAAGUCCUCUACCUCUGUCUGUUGUGACCACACCAUGAGGUUGUGGAGAAGAUCCAGUGCCCGGGCACCGUUGUCCCUGCCGUGUGUUUGUGGUGAUGAGGAGGGGGCUGGGACAGAGCUCCUGCAAAAACACCAGCUGCAUCCAAUGCAGAUAUGAUUUACAUUAAUGAAUGCUCAUACAACUAUAAAUAAGUCAAAACACACACCUGCCUUUCAACCAGGAUAAAACCAACCUGACUGCAGAAGCAAAUGCUUCUUUCUCUCUGGACUAACUAAAAAAGCCAGAGUGAAAUUAAGACUCCAUUGAAAUAACUGGCCUGAAGUUGAUGCUCCAGACACAUGUAGGAUUUGAGGGGAGGGCCCCACCUUCAUGCAUCUGUGUAGUCUUCAGGGUGGACUCACUGAUACUUCUCAAAGUGACACUCAGGUUUCUCUCCCCUCAUCAUACAGUUUCUUGGGCCGCUCUGUGCCUCCGCCUUGCCUUCUGGUUUUCAUUCAUCUCCCAGGUCAAAGUCAAUCCUGCCUCCUAAUCAUCACUGAGAUCAGGCUCACAGUCCAAACUGUAGCCUGCUUUCUGAGAUUAUGAGGUAUUUCCUAGAUUCCAGUUUUAUUGUCUUCCUCCCACCCCCACUCCACUACAGCUGUAGUUCUCAACCAGGUUGACUCUUACCGCAAGGCAAUGUUUGGCAAAGCCUGCAGACAGUUUUGGUUUUCACAAUCUGAUGGACACCGAGAAGAAGCUGCUAAAAGUCAUGCAGUGCACAGGACAGUCUCCUUUGACAAAGAAUUACUUGGCCUCAAAGGUCAGUAGUGCUGAGGUUGACAAAACCUGCACUACACAAACUUUUCCAAAAUACUAAGCUGGUCACAGUAUUAUUUUUUAUUCUUUUCUUUCCUGCAUAUAAUUCCUUGUUAGUUCCACAUUACUGAGAGAACACACACACACACACACACACACACACGUACACCUAACAUACUCUGCACAGUUAAACUACAGUUCUCUGAACUCAUCAUCCUUUUUCCAGAUUUUGUGUCCGUACAUGAUUCUAACCCACAAUACCUUUGCACUGAGUAAUCUAUUUUUCAAAAUUCUGCUCUUCAUGUUUCCCUUAACCAAAUCACAUUCAUUACUCUCUUCACAACCAUAGUACUUAAUAGAUGACUUUCAUCGCUUUUCUUAUCCUAUAAAUUAUUUACUUCUACUUCCACCUUCUGAUUCCCUGGGGGAUCAGAGACCAUAUUGUACCAUCUUUGUGUCCUUGGUGCUAAACACAGAGAGAUCUAUUAAUGCCUCCAAUACAUGGAAACACUUGUAAACACAGAGCUGAAUCUUACCCAUUUACCAGGUACCCUUCAAUUCUAAUGAGGCGGGGAGUAACUUCUGUCUAGCUAGGCCUGUAAGAACUGAGGUGUUUGGAAGGUUGUUGCCUUAAUUGCCCAGUUACUAUGUCUAAAGCUUUAUGGAGGGCUGUCAAAACAGUGUAAGCUAAUAAAACAAGAUUCUGCUGUCUGGAGGUGACCACCAGAUGGAUGCCAUGGGGCCCUCAUCACUGGGAUCCAUAGGCUUCAUCCUGUCACAGAGAUCCUGGGCUUUUCAUUUGAUCUAGAAGUGAUUGAGGGUUUUUCCCAAUAGUUUAAUGUUUAAAAUGGUUUUAUUCUUGAUAACCUGUACAAUAUUAUCUUAUUAGUGCCUUAACUUAAUAUUAGAGUUAUCAGGGGUUUCAUUUGAAUUUCCAAAUAACUUCAUCUCCUCCCAAUGGAAGGUUCCAAUGGGUGAAGAAAGAAUGGCAGGAUUUCCUCCUCUUGUUGCUUAAGACAUCACAUUAGAUGAAGGAUUUGAGGAAUCUGAAGCAGUGGCUGACAUCAAGUUCUCCUCUGCAGAUAAUUUUAUACCAAGCACUUUUCAAAAGGGGAAUAAUGUAGCCUUCCUGAUGUUUUGGGCUUACCUGGUGGCUCAGACGGUAAAGAAACUGCCUGCAGUGUGGGAGACCUGGGUCCAUCCCUGGGUCAGGAAGAUCCCCUGGAGAAGAAACUGGCAACCCACUCCAGUAUUCUUGCCUGGAGAAUCCCAUGGACAGAGGAGCGUGGUGGGUUACAGUCUAUGUGGUUCCAAAGAGUUGGACACGACUGAGCAGCUCAAACACAUACACACUGAUGUUUAGCAUAUUUUUAUAGUCAUGUAUAAAAAUAUGUAUUUUAUGCAUAAAAAUAUGGAAGUAUAUGCAUGUAUAUGUUGCCUUAACCGACAUUAACUGAAAAUUUUAAGAAAUACAUGCUAGAUUAUUUGUAAGAUGCAACCUACUCUGAAAAUGAAUCUGUACAUUUUCACAAAUGCAUUGUAUGCUUUAAAAAAAAAUGGAGUGAGACAGCAGUAGCUUCCCUUGGGUCUCUAUCUGGAGCUGUGUUUGGUGUUUUUAACAGGAUGGUUGCCUAUACCAUCUGUAUUCUGUCGUGUGCCUACAUAGGUUGGGUAGCAGUAAGGCCAAAGUUUAAGGACUGCACCUCCGAUGCUAUACACCUCAAGGGACAGUUCUGACAUUGUACAAUCUGCAGAAAAAUAAAAAAAGAUAGCUGUAUGAAGCUGACCUGUUCACAUUGAAGAUGAACUAUAUAGAAUGUACUGUGUACAUCACAUUGCAUUUUAUUAAAUAUCACUGUAAUAAAGCCCCCUCACCCUUUUCAACCUACCAAGGACCAUGCCUUUUUUUUUUUUUUUUUUUUAUUAGUUGGAGGCUAAUUACUUCACAACAUUUCAGUGGGUUUUGUCAUACAUUGAUAUGAAUCAGCCAUAGAUUUACACGUAUUCCCCA